rnacentral:rRNA from 1 species
GACGAACCGUGCAAACGUUGUUCGGAAUCACUGGGCUUAAAGGGCGCGUAGGCGGACUCGCCAGUCUGUGGUGAAAGCCCCCAGCUUAACUGGGGAAGUGCCGUGGAUACUGCGAGUCUGGAGGAGGGUAGGGGCAUCUGGAACGCUGGGUGGAGCGGUGAAAUGCGUUGAUAUCCAGCGGAACUCCGGUGGCGAAGGCGAGGUGCUGGACCCUUUCUGACGCUGAGGCGCGAAAGCCAGGGGAGCAAACGGG